GCAAUCAAUCACAAAAUUCCGCCGCCAUUAUCGAGAAAAUCGGAAAGGUCAAGUAUGUGUUACACUUACCAGAUUCCGCGUGCAUUCAUCCCGUUUUCCAUGCCUUCCUUCUACGAUGUUAUGUCGGACCACCACCCAUUUCGACACCUUCUGAGAGUGUAGCUGAAGAAAGUGUGCUUAUUACAAAUGAAGAAGAAACAUCUACUUUAGCUUCUGAGUGCCUCUGUUAGCCCAUAUUUUCGACGAGCUAAAAUGUGCUAUAAGUAUGCAUUGGAUGUCGUCUCGAGGUUCGAAGCGUAUUACAGAGCAAGAGCCUGGUCAGGACCUGCUCGAAUCGAAAAGAGAGGAGAGUCUUUAAGAAGGAAUUCCCAGGUUCAAAGGAGUAUUUACGAAGUACAAAGCUAAGACAAGAAAGAGGACUUCGAGCUAUUGGGCAAUUCGAACUGGUGUAUGGACGAGUCGAAGUCGAGGCAGCAAGAAUUCUGGACUUAGCGUAAUUUCUGAACAAAUCUUCAUCAAAUCAGUUCGAUCUCGAGCAAUGUGGAUAACCGUUCUAAGGAGCAGGUAUGUGCAUAUGAGAUGUACGUGGCAGGACACUUGGCAUUAGGAUAGUGUUCGACCGUUAGGGCAGUUUAUUUUCGAAUGCCUAUAUAUAGCAAUUUUUAGUUAGAUUUCAAGGUCGCAAAUCAUUUCUACAGAAUCCUUAUACACUCAAAGUAUCCAGCGCAGAGAGAAACGAGUACACAAGGAGAAUGUAUGUUUGUUUGUGAACCAUUUUAAAUUUCUGUAAACUUUACAUUUCGAAUGCAAUGCAAUUUACGCUUCACUUUAGAAUUCCUGUCUUUUAAAUGGUUCAUUCGUUCGAGUGAACUUACUGCUCCUUUACAUUCUGCAAUUUUCCUCCCUUGUUAAUUUACUUCCAGCCUUUCGAUUCUGUCAGAAUUUUCCUUUCCUUGCCUAGUUAUUUCCAGCAUUUCGAUUUCUGUUAAACAAUUUUACUUUCUGCAAAUUUCGAACCAGUGAGUGUUUGUUGCAAUGAUGAACAUUAACGGUUUUAUGUUUAAAGCAAACACGCAAAUGACAUGCUCCUGAGAUUCACUAGUUGGUCUCGCAAGCAAUUAACUUAGACUAGCGGUUGUUUACCAAAUUCCAGUGUAAACAAAUUGGCACGCCCAGUGGGACCGGUCAAUUGCGUGUUUUUGGUUUUAAAUUAUUUUUAAAGUUUUGUUUGUUGCAGUUGGUUUAUUGCCUUCUUAAUUGUUUUGAUUUUUGUAUGCAUUUAAGAAGUGGGAAAUCUGUUCCACACUUAACAGAAUUCAAAACUCGUACAAGGAUGGCUAGACCACCCCCAAGCAAUCGAAACAAUGACCUUCCAAAUAUGGAGGGGCAACCAACGCAAACAUCUGUCAGUAAUGCCAAUAUAAAUUCUGGUAUAGGAGCAAUUCCUGACCAAACCGUUGGCACGAUUAGUUCAACCGCUUCGACGGUUAUGAAUCAGACAGGGGUAACCUCUCCCAUGACCAACAUGACGUUGGCAAGUUCGACCACGUCAGCGUCUGCUUUUGCCCCUUGGAACAGCCCUAGUUUAGGGAAUCCCAGUGGAAGUCCCUUUCGACCGCCUCAAAACCCUCUAUAUGGCAUGCCUACAUCUUUGAUGGUAGGGUUGCAAAAUUCUCAACCAAACAUAGAGAAUCUUAAUAUGUCCUCUCCAUCAGGAUCUGUAGCGGGCAAUCAAGGUAGGGUAAUUCCGCAACAUUUAACUAAUACAUCCGUUUUGUCACUCAGACAACAAAUGGAUGAAAGUAACCAUGAUAUGGUUAACAUGUUAACACAACAAAUAGGAACUGUUAUUAACCCUUUAAUUCAAAAUACAAAUGACAGUUACCAAACGUUAACAAAUCAAAUAAGUCGAAUUGCUGACUUUUUUGGGGCACCACCCAUACAACAACCACCAAUUCGACAGAUCCAAAUACAGGCGCCUGUCCAAGAGAUACAGAUGCCUAAUAACCCCGGGAUGCAAAUGGCUCAAGCACCACAACCAGCGGCACGCAUAGAGCCACCAGUCCAACAGGUCGAACCAAACCCUGGUAUAGUAUUGGUAAAUAGGAACCAAAAUGCUGAUGAAGUAAUAGGGAAUAUUCAACAAAACCGUUUCGAUAUGCAGAAUAACCUAGCCCAAAUGGUCGAAACGAUUUUGGUGCAGAAUGGUUUGAACUUAGGUUUACACAGGCCUAAUUUUGUGUCUCCAUUAUCUGAGUAUGUGUUACAGACAGAAUUACCAAGGGGUGUGAAAAUCCCUAAGUUUACCAAGUUUGCGGGAGAGACAAAUGAGUCCACUGUCGAACACGUUGCUAGAUAUUUGGUCGAAGCAGGGGAUUUGGCUAAUAAUGAAAAUUUAAGAAUGAAAUUUUUCCCUAGUUCCUUGACUAAAAAUGCUUUUACAUGGUUUACAACCCUUCCUCCUCAUUCCAUACAUAAUUGGAACCAAUUGGAAAGGAUUUUCCAUGAGCAAUUUUAUAUGGGACAGUCUAAGAUCAGCCUUAAAGAGUUAGCCAGCGUUCGACGCAAGGCACUUGAAUCAAUUGAUGAUUAUUUGAACAGAUUCAGACUCUUAAAGGCAAGGUGUUUCACCCAAGUCCCUGAACAUGAAUUAGUCGAAAUGGCUGCUGGUGGCCUAGACUAUUCGAUUAGAAAGAAAUUAGAUACCUAGUAUUUAAGGGAUAUGGCUCAAUUGGCUGAUAGAGUUCGACAACUCGAACGGUUGAAGGCCGAAAAGGCUAGAAAUUCUAAAUUCCACAAGAAGGAAAAGGUUGCUUAUAUCGAAACCAAUGACAGUGACCAGGAGUUCGAUAUUAUAUAUGAAGAUAUCGAAGACAGUGAGGUUGAUUUAGCAGAAUUAAAACCUGGACCUCCUUAUGUUUGUAAACUCCUUAGACCUUCCAAUGGAAAAAACCCUGUUGAACCUAAAAAUGAUAAAUUUAUGUCUAAAACUUAUACAUUUGACAUAACUAAAUGUGAUGAAAUAUUUGAUUUAUUAGUCACAGAUGGCCAGAUUGUUGUUCCUAAGGGCUUGAAAGUACCCCCAAUCGAACAACAGAAAAAAAGGGGUUAUUGUAAAUUUCAUAAUUUCCUUGGCCAUAAAACCUCACGUUGUGUUCUUUUCAGGGAUUUGGUUCAAAAGGCUCUUGACGAAGGAAGGCUAAAAUUUGGUGAGAAACCAAAGGUUGUUCAGGCAAAUGCUGAAACAUCCAAAGCUGCCGAAACUCUCUAUGCGGAGCCCCAAGAAAUAAUGAUGGUCGAAACAAUGGAGGUGUCCCAUGUGCAAGUUCAGGAUGUAUCUGAAGAGGAUUACAACGAACAGAUGAAGGUUGUUUAUCCUCAGGCUGAGGAGGAGUUAAUUGAUUUCUUGAACAGAUGUAAACUCGAAAACAAGAUUGUGAUGCUCUGCCCUCGCUGCAGUGCAGUAUGUGAUAAGGAGGCUACUGAGGGCCUCAAGAAAUACCAAGUUGUUAACAAGGGGGCAAGGCAGAACCAACGUUUCGAUAAAGGCAAAAGAGUUAUGGUGCAGUCGAAUACUAAUCAGAAGUCGGGUCGAAGGAAUACUUUCGCUCCUCCUGGUUCAGUGCCGGUCGAAAAAUGGAUGCACCAGGGACUCAUAAGGUUCAACAAAGGGAUUAUGGAAGUAGGUGGUUCGAGUGGAACGAAGCAAAUUGGCCCACAGGAGGCCAAUAGGUACUCGUAUAGGAACAAUUACAAAGGAAAGAAUCCUAUGACGAGGACCCAAUGGCGUAGGUUCCAGCGUCAGAAGAAAUUGGCCCAGCAGAACCCGCAAAUGGGCCAAUAUAAAGAAGUAUCUAGGAGGCCAGUAAAGGAGAGACUCCUGCCUCCAGUGGAUGAAGACAAGAUGGAGGAUGAGGAUCUACUGGAUUCUGAGCCAGAUUUCGAUGUCAUCUGUGUGGUAUCUAUCUUGCCAUCUGAAUAUGAUGUCCAAUCUGAAGUAACUGAGAUCGAAAGUGAGUUCGAUCAUUUUGAUAUGGCUGACCCAAAGCCAGUAUGUUACUAUGUUAUGAAUAAUGGCUGUGUGGAAGAGCAAUUAGCCUAUUUCGAAAAGCCAGAUUUUCAGAUGAAAAGUCAUCUCAAACCUCUUUUCAUCAGAGCAAAAGUUGAGAAUGUUGGAAUCAACAAAGUGCUCAUUGAUGGAGGAGCGGCUGUCAACUUAAUGCCUCGAUCUAUGCUCUACAAGAUCGGGAAACAUGACACUGAUCUAUCUGCCCACAACAUUGUGCUUUCGAAUUAUGAGGGUAAAACUGGCUAUUCUUUGGGAGCCAUUCAAGUAGAUGUUGCUGUAGGCAGUAUAGUUCGACCAACUCUUUUCCUGGUGAUACAGUCUAAGGCUAAUUUUAACUUGCUAUUAGGAAGGGAGUGGAUUCAUGGAGUUGGAGCUGUGCCAUCUACCCUUCACCAGAAGCUCAUUAUCUGGAGGGAGGAUGGGAUUGUGGAAAAUAUAGAGGCGGAUCAAAGCUUCUAUAAGUCAGAGGUCGAUAAUGUUACUGCACAAACCUUUGACAAAAAGUUGGCUAACAUAGCACCUUGUGGUGACAAGGAGGCUGUUGUCGAAUCGAGUGACAAUGUUGUCCACUCUGUCAAACUCCAUCCUACCUAUGGGUUUAUAUGGGAGAGGGAGGAAAUUGAUGCUGUUCCCUCUGAAGAUGGAGUCAUUCCACCAACUGGGUGGAAUAUAUAUGAAGAUUAAUAUGACUGAGGCCACUGCAUGGGCCAGAAUUACGGCUUAUAUGGCCGAAAAUAGACUAAAUACGGCCUUUGAGGCUGAAUCUCAACAAAAUAUGGCAGUUGAAGCCAAGAUCGAAGAUCAUGAAAACAAAGAAACAAAGGAUCGAAGACUGGAUUGUAUUUAUGAUGAUGAGCCGCUGGGUUUUGAGAAAGAUCCCAUAAGUGAGGCGCCAAAGAUGCAGGCUCAAGAUCCUUUGGAAGAGGUCGAUAUUGGAGAUGGCUCGAUUAAAAGGCCAACUUAUAUCAGUGCCAAUAUCACCUCAAGUUUAAAAGAAAAGCUGGUGCCUCUUCUUAGAGAGUUUAAAGACUGUUUUGCUUGGGAUUACCACGAAAUGCCUGGGUUAAGCAGAAAAAUGGUCGAAAUGAAGUUACCUAUUAAGGAGGGAAAAAGACCAGUAAAACAACUACCAAGAAGAUUCGCACCAGAAAUCAUGUCCAAGAUCAAGGAAGAGAUCGAAAGGCUGCUGAGGUGUAAAUUCAUCAGAGCUGCCAGGUAUGUCGAAUGGUUAGCAAAUAUAGUCCCUGUCAUUAAAAAGAAUGGAACUCUUAGAGUAUGCAUAGAUUUUAGGGAUUUAAAUAAUGCUACACCUAAAGAUGAAUAUGCUAUGCCAGUAGCGGAAAUGUUGGUAGAUUCGGCAGCUGGUUUCGAAUUUUUAAGCAUGUUAGAUGGUUAUUCUGGUUAUAACCAAAUAUUUAUUGCUGAAAAUGAUGUGUCGAAAACAGCAUUUCGAUGCCCUGGUGCUUUAGGCACUUAUGAAUGGGUGGUUAUGCCCUUUGGGUUGAAAAAUGCUGGGGCCACUUAUCAAAGGGCUAUGAAUUCCAUGUUUCAUGAUUUUAUUGACACAUUUAUGCAAAUUUAUAUUGAUGAUAUAAUCAUCAAAUCCUCCUCAGAAGAUAGCCAUUUGGAUUAUCUUAGGCAAUCUUUCGAACGAAUGAGGAAACAUGGAUUAAAAAUGAAUCCAUUAAAAUGUGCUUUUUGUGUGCGUGCAGGAGAUUUCCUUGGUUUUGUGGUGCAUAAAAAAGGCAUUGAGAUAAAUCAAAAUAAGACAAAGGCUAUUCUUGAGACGAAGCCUCCUUCGACUAAAAAACAGCUUCAGUCUUUGCUAGGAAAAAUCAACUUCUUGAGGCGAUUCAUUUCGAAUCUAAGUGGCAAAGCUCAGAUUUUUUCGCCAUUACUUCGACUCAAGAAAGAUGAACCAUUCAAAUGGAAUGAAGAGCAUCAAAAGGCUUUCGAUGAAAUUAAAGAAUAUCUGAUCAAGCCUCCUGUGUUAAUGCCUCCUAGUCGAAACAAGUCUAUGAAAUUGUAUAUUGCUGCGUCUGACAAGACCAUUGGUAGCAUGUUAGCUCAGGAAGAUGAUGAUAGCAUAGAACAUGCAAUUUAUUAUCUUAGUCGUGUACUAAAUGAUGCAGAAACUAGAUAUACUGCCAUAGAAAAACUUUGUCUUUGUCUGUAUUUCUCUUGUGCAAAACUUAAGCAAUAUAUAAAGCCUGUUGAUGUUUAUGUGUAUUCUCAUUAUGAUGUUAUUAAGCACAUGUUGUCAAAACCGAUUUUACACAGUAGAAUUGGAAAAUGGGCUUUAGCAUUGACAGAAUAUUCUUUAACGUACAAGCCUUUGAAAUCUGUUAAGGGUCAAAUUGUGGCAGAUUUUAUUGUAGAUCACUCAGUGGUCGAAAUGUCGCAAGACUAUGUCGAUACAGAGCCAUGGAUUUUGUAUUUCGAUGGUUCGAAACACAAACAUGGAACUGGAAUUGGAGUUUUAAUAAUAUCCCCCAAUAAAAUUCCAACUAAAUUCAAGUAUAAAAUCAAAGGGCUUUGUUCUAAUAAUGAGGCUGAGUAUGAAGCUCUAAUUACAGGCCUUGAAAUUUUAAUUAGCCUGGGGGCAAGAAAUGUUAAUAUAAGAGGUGAUUCAGAAUUAGUGUUGAGGCAAUUAACACAAGAAUACAAAUGUGUUAAUGAACACUUAGCCAAAUAUUUUGUUAUAGCAAGUUCUCUUCUGAAUCAUUUCGAUUAUAUUAACAUUGAGCAUGUACCUCGACAAGAAAACCGAGAAGCAAAUGAUUUAGCCCAAAUAGCUUCAGGGUACAAAAUGUCGAAGGAAAAGUUAACUCAGUUGAUCGAAAUAAAAGAUAAACUGGUGUUACCAGAGCCAUUAAGCACUAAAUUGCCAAUGCCAAAACUUGUGGGGGCAAGUAUACCACAAAAUAAUGAAGAUGAAAGUAUGAAUGAUCUUCAGGAAGAAAUUCAAAUUUUGGCCAUUGACAAUAUGUUAGAUAAUGAUUGGAGAAAGUCCAUUAUUGAAUAUUUGGAAAAUCCAAUAGGCAAUGUGGCUCGAAAGAUUAAAUAUAGGGCCUUAAAUUACGUGAUUAUGGGAAAUGAUUUGUUUAAAAAGACUGCAGAAGGAGUGUUGUUAAAAUGUCUAAAUGAAUCAGAAGCAUACUUAGCAGUUUCCCAUGUUCACAGUGGGGCUUGUGGAUCACAUCAAGCAGGCCAUAAAAUGAAAUGGCUUUUAUUUCGACAAGGUUUGUAUUGGCCUUCGAUGUUAAAAGACUGCAUAGAAUUUGCUAAAGGCUGUCAGGAAUGCCAAAAGCAUGCAGGGAUACAGCAUGUACCUGCUAGUGAGUUACACUCCAUAAUUAAACCUUGGCCUUUCAGAGGAUGGGCUUUGGAUUUAAUUGGCGAAAUCAAGCCUGCUUCUUCUAAGAACCAGCGUUAUAUUAUAGUUGGUAUCGAUUACUUUACAAAAUGGAUCGAAGCAGUCCCUUUGCCAAAUGUUGAUCAGGAAGCAGUAAUUAGUUUCAUUCAAAAUUAUAUUAUUUAUAGGUUUGGUAUUCCCGAAACAAUUACCACUGAUCAAGGUUCAGUUUUUACUGGACGAAAAAUGAAAGAAUUUGCCCAAAAAACUGGCUUUCGAUUAUUAACCUCAACACCAUAUUACGCGCAAGCAAAUGGUCAGGUCGAAGCAGCCAAUAAGAUUGUAAUUAACUUGAUUAAAAAACACAUUGCCCAAAAGCCAAGAAAUUGGAAUAAAACGUUAGAUCAAGUUCUAUGGGCAUGUAGAAAUUCUCCUAAGGAAUCAACUAAUACUACCCCAUUUCGACUGACUUAUGGGCACGAUGCUAUACUUCCGGUCGAAACACAUUUGCAAUCAGCUAGAGUACAAAAACAAAUGGACAUUCCGAUCGACCAUUAUUGGAAAAUGAUGUCAGAUGAGUUAGUUGAUUUAGACGAGGAGAGAUUAAGAGCAUUAGAAGUCUUGACUAAACAAAAAGAAAGAGUUGCUAAAGCUUAUAAUAAGAAAGUGAAGUCGAAAACUUUUAAUGUUGGAGAUUUAGUUUGGAAGGUUAUCCUGCCCAUGGAUAGUAAGGAUCGAGCUUUGGGCAAAUGGUCCCCAAAUUGGGAAGGACCGUUUAAAAUAAUUCAGAUUUAUUCGAAUGGUGCUUAUGAAUUAGAGGAAUUAACCCCUCAGAAACGUACUUUGAGUAUAAAUGGUAAAUAUUUGAAAAAAUAUAAACCAACAUUGCUCGAAGUUAAAAUAAGUAUAGAAUAGACAGAAAUAAUGGAAACAUAAAAAUGGCGAUAACAGUAAAAUUGCCACAAAAGGGCAUGUAUCAAUAUUACAUCAAAAGUAGAAUCGAAAUACAGAAUUCGAAAUAAAGAAAUUAUAAGUUCUACUAAUGCAUGACUAAGUCCUCAUAUAGUUUCUUCAAGGUGGCCAUCUCUUUGCUCAAAACCUGGUCAGCACUCUCCAUAGCUCUCGCCUCAUCUGCUACCGCUUGAGAUGCACUAAAGGCCUUCAGGCCUUCCCUCCCUUUUUCGGCAACCAGCUUCUGAAUCGAAUCAGCAGCCUUCUCCUGGAGUUCUUUGCGUUUGGUCUGCUCUGUUACAAUUUUCUGCCUUAGAUCAUCGACCUGAGACAGUAAAUUUGUAAUAGUUGCCUCCCAGGAGGAGAUGUUAUCAUCACAGGCUUUGAUAUCAGAAGAUCCUUCUUUCGCCUCUUUGGUGAGACGCUCGACUUCACGUUGAGCCGCUCGGGCUUUCUCGAGCAGAAGGAUAUGUGCCUGUUUCUGGGCAUCAAGUCUGGCGCCAUUUUCGCGUUUUUUCUGCACAGUAUUUGCAAAUUGAUCGAUAAUGGACUCGAUUUGUAUAACUUUGCCCAGAAUCUCAUCAGAAGUAAGGGGGUUAUGCAAUUUCUUCAAAAAGUUCAGGUGCCCAAAAGCAGCAGAAGGGUUCUCUUCAAUGGAUUUAAGUACGUCUGCCCGUGCGUAUUCCAUUGAUAACUUCAAAAGCAGGCAAUCUUGGCGUACUGUAGAGGUUAUAUCAGCAUCAGAUGAGGACGAAGCACCAGGAUUCUUUUCACUUGAGGUGUUGGCUUGACUGGUGUUCAGCAGGAGUCGAAGGGCUGCAGCAGGGUCUUCGUCUUGCAUUUGAAUGAAUGUAUCCUCUGCGAUCCCUAUGCUAGCGGAAAGCUUAGAUGUCGAAGACGCUGGGAAAAUGUCUGAACCUCCAGCUUCAGCCUCUUGUAUGGCCUCUUCAUCGGAAAAGUGUUCUUCAGAUGAACUUCUCUGAUUCGAUCCCUGAGGACUGCUGGGUCCAAUACCUUGACCUUCACCCUGUUCCUCAACAUUCACUGCAUCCGUCUCAGGAGCAGGAGAGGUUCGAGCACAUGAGGGUAUUUCUUCUACAGAAACAUUUUGUUGUACCUGAUUCGAAUUGUCAUGGAAAAGGUUAACAAAUAGUUUCGUAUUAGUUAUGAUUAAAAUCAUAUUAAGAAUGAUACCUCGACGGUAGGGUGUUCUUGUGGUAAGUCCGGUUGUUCGACAAGGUUGCCCAUCUCAGCAAUAGAGGGAGUAGUUUCUGUUUCAGCGCCGCCAACAUCAUUCGAAGGUGGUUGGACGUCAGCAGGUUGAUUCUCACCUUGUUCUUUUGAAGACUUGGUCUUCUUCUUUCUCUUCCUGACUGGCUCACCACCCUCGACCGUCACAGAAGGUUCAGGCUCGAUCUGCUUCACUUUCUUUUUCUUCUUAGGCAUUUGAGCCUGGGAAUCGCCUGUCUCUGUUUGGUCAGCAGAUUUGGUCGAAGUCUCAGGUGAUUUUCUUUUUCUUACAAGAGGUCUUUCCUCUUCUUCCUGUGUUAUGAGGGUAAAGAAAUGUCAGAAUAUAGACUUAAAAGAGUUAUAAGAUUGACAUUAGGAAUAAAACUUGCAUCUUUUUCUUCGUCGAAUUCGAUGACCACACGCUUCGAGCGUUUUGAGGUCGUGGUAGUCUCGGUGCUAUCAUCUUUCUUAUGAUUCUGAAAAAAUAAAGAAAUAUGAGGCAAAGACGUUAAGAGUAAAAGAUAAGUUCAUAAGAGUUACCUUCUCUUCUUGUUUCCAUUCUUGGAUCUUCACCCCAGUGGGUUUCUUGGGUCUCACAUCAGCUCGAGACGUUUCAGCAAUUUUCUUUGUCAUGAUUGUUUUGCCUGAAAGUAAGAAUAUUAGAAAAGGCAAAAAUACAUAUCAAUUUAGAAAAAUCAAAAGUUAGUACCUCGAGCUUGAAGGUUUGAGCGGAUAUUCUCGACCGUUGGUUGUGUAAAACCACUCUCAAGUCUGGAGAUCAUGAUAGUUGUGUCUCCAACCGAACGGCCCGAAUAAUAUUUCUCCCACCAGGUAACAAAUCCCAUGGUGCAGAAGUGGGAAUGGUUGAACUCAAAAGGAUGCAGGUUAUAGUUUUCAUCAAGAGAAAUCUUCAAAAAUUUUUUGAAAGUCUUUUCUGAAAGAUUGGCCCCUCUUAUGACGUCUCUAGGAUCUUCGAACAAGCUUUUGGGACGGAUCUGCGAGAGGCCAAAUUGUCUUGAAACCAAAUUAGGCUGGUAUCCAACCAGGCCUAAAUAGUUCGAUUGAACACCUGUACGACAGGACAGGAUCUGUGGAUUCAAGUAAAAUGACCAUAUUUCAUUCACUUCUUCUUCAUUGUCCGGAUCGACAGCAGGAAAAUCGUCAGUGAACCAGGCCGGGCCGACCUCUCGACUAAUGAAUGGAGCAUGUUGGGGAAGAAACUUGUCAAAACUCAGAAAAAUCUUCAUGUACUUGAGGAACAGCUUUUGUGGGUUUUGAUCGAAGGUCUUGGGUGUUAAUCGAAGUGCUCUCUGGCCUUCGAUCGAGCGAUUGGCAACUUCUUCAGCAUAAUCUUGUGGGAUUAUUAAUCCCAUUUCUUGUUCGAAAGUGGCAUUAAGCCACAACUGGAGAAGCCACAUAGGCCCAGAUACUAAGAAGGAAGACCCAUCCUUCGAUUUCUUCAGGUCAUCGCAUGCCUCACCAAGCGAUUCGUAUAGUACUGCUAACAAGAGGCGUCCAAAUCCAAAGCUCUGACCUUCAUGAAUUUGUAUUGCCAUUGGAAUAAAUCUUUUGGCUACUUGCAAGGAUUUUGUGCAAAAGACGUAGUGAGAUAGCCAUAGGGUCAAGAAGGCUACAUGCUCUUCAUCAGAGACUUCCUCUUCGACCGAUCCUUUGUGUUCAGCUAUAUAUUUGGAAAAGGUGUUCUCCUUAUAUAUUAGCUUAAUAUUAUCACUAGAUUUAGUGGGAUCAUAAGUUUCUCCGUUAGGCCUAAGGCCUGUGAGAGCGGCUACGUCUAAGAGAGUGGGGGUCAUCAUACCACAUUUAAAAUGAAAGGUGUUGGUAGAAGACUCGAAAAAAUGCAUAGCUGCUAUCAGCAUUUCUGGUCGAUAUUCAGGACCAAAUCGAGAGAAUUGUAUUAAGUCAAAUAUGCCAUAUGUCUUCCAGAAAUCCUCAUACGCUUGUUCGACUCGAUCAAGCCAAGGUAUGUAAUCCCUAUGGGCUAUUGACGGGGCGGAUCGAAAGAGUUUGUGGGGUUUGCUUAAGCAGUUGAAGUUGUAAGGCUCACUAUCAAAAAUCCUAGGUUCGCAAGUUGGGUAGCAGGGGAAUACCUUGUUCAUUGAACUCGAGAGUGACUCUUGGUCUGGCAGAGGUCCACCGAAAGCGUAAACUGUCCUUUCCACUGCGAAAGGGAUCAUCACCUCCGAUUCCCAGAUUUCUGUGUGUUCGGCGUCACCUUGUGGUUCUGGAACCACCUUCUCUCCGUCGUUCCUGACUGUAAAACGGUGCCAUUUCCCAGCAAACGGAACUGCUUGGCCUUGCGACAUUGUGAGAAAUCUGAAAAAGGAUGAUUUUCUCGUGAAGGGUUGGGUAGCUGAUAGAAUCAGUGAGUGAGAGCUUGGGUUCACGAAGAACAAUGGCAGAACUCAGAGAUUCGGUGAGUUUGAUGAUGAGAGGGAUAACGAUUAUCUGGAAAUAGGAAGGUUUCGCCGGAAAUAAUGGAAGCAAGGAAGAAGAAGAAGGGUUUCAGAAGCAGAGAAGAAGAAAGGUUUCGGGGUUUAGGAAGCAAAGAAGAUGAAGGGGUUUCUCUGAGGUUUUUUGGCGCUAUUUAUGGAGGUUUUUACUUUAAAAAAGGGAAAAUAAUAUAAUAAGAAUCAAGGGUCAGAAAUCAAUCACAUCAGAUUUCCCUUUUUACUCCCCAGCGUGACACGUGUCCCACUCUGCCUAGAAAGAUGGAAUUAAUGAUGGGUAAUGGAGAUCGAGGCGACGGUUACACAGUGAACGUGCGAUCAUGACGUCGUUCCAGGGAAACUGUUAGAAGAAGAGAAAAAAUGUCAACUUCUCAUCUUUCUUCGAUCUCGAGUCGAAGCAGACAUUUUUUGGGGGCAAUUUGUUAGCCCAUAUUUUCGACGAGCUAAAAUGUGCUAUAAGUAUGCAUUGGAUGUCGUCUCGAGGUUCGAAGCGUAUUACAGAGCAAGAGCCUGGUCAGGACCUGCUCGAAUCGAAAAGAGAGGAGAGUCUUUAAGAAGGAAUUCCCAGGUUCAAAGGAGUAUUUACGAAGUACAAAGCUAAGACAAGAAAGAGGACUUCGAGCUAUUGGGCAAUUCGAACUGGUGUAUGGACGAGUCGAAGUCGAGGCAGCAAGAAUUCUGGACUUAGCGUAAUUUCUGAACAAAUCUUCAUCAAAUCAGUUCGAUCUCGAGCAAUGUGGAUAACCGUUCUAAGGAGCAGGUAUGUGCAUAUGAGAUGUACGUGGCAGGACACUUGGCAUUAGGAUAGUGUUCGACCGUUAGGGCAGUUUAUUUUCGAAUGCCUAUAUAUAGCAAUUUUUAGUUAGAUUUCAAGGUCGCAAAUCAUUUCUACAGAAUCCUUAUACACUCAAAGUAUCCAGCGCAGAGAGAAACGAGUACACAAGGAGAAUGUAUGUUUGUUUGUGAACCAUUUUAAAUUUCUGUAAACUUUACAUUUCGAAUGCAAUGCAAUUUACGCUUCACUUUAGAAUUCCUGUCUUUUAAAUGGUUCAUUCGUUCGAGUGAACUUACUGCUCCUUUACAUUCUGCAAUUUUCCUCCCUUGUUAAUUUACUUCCAGCCUUUCGAUUCUGUCAGAAUUUUCCUUUCCUUGCCUAGUUAUUUCCAGCAUUUCGAUUUCUGUUAAACAAUUUUACUUUCUGCAAAUUUCGAACCAGUGAGUGUUUGUUGCAAUGAUGAACAUUAACGGUUUUAUGUUUAAAGCAAACACGCAAAUGACAUGCUCCUGAGAUUCACUAGUUGGUCUCGCAAGCAAUUAACUUAGACUAGCGGUUGUUUACCAAAUUCCAGUGUAAACAGCCUCCCAACAUCAACUUGGAGAAUUGAACCCACCAUCGCCCUUCAAAGCCACGUCACCUAUAGACACAACUUCCAAACCCACUUGCACACUGUCCUCUUCGAUUUCCAAAAUCCACAAUACUUGUGCUCUGUUGGAUACCGUUCCUUAUCUUCCUCAUUGAGGACAAUCACCAUUCUCAAACGGCGGGUAUUGACAGACCAAAAGGCCCAAAUGACAGUAAUUGGCCCAAACGUAUAACUACGAUUGGUGAUUUUUGUAACCGUUAG
rnacentral:lncRNA from 1 species